rnacentral:rRNA from 1 species
UACGUAGGGUGCAAGCGUUAAUCGGAAUUACUGGGCGUAAAGCGUGCGCAGGCGGUUUCGUAAGUCUGUCGUGAAAUCCCCGGGCUUAACCUGGGAAUGGCGAUGGAGACUGCGAGGCUAGAGUUUGGCAGAGGGGGGUAGAAUUCCACGUGUAGCAGUGAAAUGCGUAGAGAUGCGGAGGAACACCGAUGGCGAAGGCAGCCCCCUGGCUAGCACUGACGCUCAGGCACGAAAGCGUGGGGAGCAAACAGG